rnacentral:rRNA from 1 species
AUUGAACGCUGGCGGCAGGCCUAACACAUGCAAGUCGAGCGGAGCGGCGGACGGGUGAGUAAUGCCUAGGAAUCUGCCUGGUACUGGGGGAUAACGUUCGGAAACGGGCGCUAUUACCGAAAACAAUCAGAUGAGCCUAGGUCGGAUUAGCGAGUUGGGGGGGUAAAGGCCUACCAAGGCGACGACCCGUAACUGGUCUGAGAGGAUGAUCAGCCACACCGGAACUGAGACACGGUCCAGAAUCCUAAGGGAGGCAGCAGUGGGGAAGAUUGUACAAUGGGCUAAAGCCUUAUCCAGCCAUGCAGCGUGUGUGAAGAAGGUCUUCGGGUUGUAAAGCACUUUAGGUUGGGAGGCGUUACCAACAGAAUAAGCACCGGCUAACUUCGUGCCAGCAGCCGCGGUAAUAC